ACUGCUAGAUAUAGACCGAGAAUAAAAACACACAUCCACCUACAGAACUCACACACAUGAAACACAACACAGCACAGUACACACACAUACCACGCACACACACACACACACACACAUAUACACAUUAAAAACUACACACUGGAGCGACAUGAGUUCCAGCUGAAACCCAGCAAACACACAUCCAUGUGCACACACCCAUUUGCUCACACACCAUGCAACAUGCUCUCCUGCUGGCAUCCUGAAUAUUCAGACAAGGUAUCAGACACACACACACACACACACACACACACACACACAGUGGACAAAAGCACACACACACACACACACACGCCUGCACAUGCACACUCAUCUCACAGUCUCUCGACGCCGCUCGCAGCUUGUCACCACAGAGUCGGCGUCCCGCGAUACGGACAGGUCCAGAUGGCGCUGUCACGGCUGUCACCGAACCGCAUCUCCCAGAAUACACCUGUGACAGCUGGAACAUGUGCGCCCAGUCAGAGCGGCGCCGCUACAGAGACUAAUUAUCACCAGCAGUCCAGCCACCACGUACACGGGGCCCGCGCCUCGCCGUCACCUUACAAGGUUGCCGAGACCGGGCGACAAAUCAACGGUGUCGUUAGCGUAUGCCAGCUCGGAGAGAGAGAAAGAGAGAGAGAGAGAGAGAGAGAGAGAAGGCCCGUAACCAUGGAGACACGCCGGCGUGCUGAGGCUAAUGUACAAAUAGAUAAAAAGAUAUUUUACACUUGAGUGUGAAGACUUUUUCUUCUCCAACGCUACAUCUCGCAGCACGCUGUUUGCUCAUUCGGUGGCUGCGGUUUGGGGAUGGUGGCGGUGGCGGCGGCGGCGGCGGCGGCGAGGGGCUGAUCCAUCACGACACUGCGCCACAUAUGCAUUUAGCUCCAGAUUUUGUGUGUCUCUCUGGGGUCACAUUUAAAGUCGCUGAAAAUGGGGGAAACGUCGAGGAACUCCGGCUGGCUGAGUAGCGUCUGCUCCCAUCAGUCAGCUGCACACACAGUCGCAAGUUAAACACUCAAAACUUCACUUCUCCUUUCAUUUUCAUUCUUUGUUUUGCAUCAAACAUUCAAAGUGUACUCUGUUUAUUGUUUUUUAGUCAUAAAACUAAUUUUCACUCCAUGUUUACUUUAUCUUUUGCACUGUAACGUCUCAUAAAUUAUAUUAAAGCCACUGGAAACCCAAAUCAACAACAGCAUUUUAACUAUGUAAUUUAGGGUCUUAUAUGCAUAAUAGUAAACAUCUAAAAAGUAUUACAAAUUAGUUUCAAUCCAAAAUUGAAAUAUUGUCAUUUAAGUUUUUGUAAACUUUCCUGGUAUUGACAUUUAUAACAAAAAUUAUGCAAUAA